ACGUCGUCACAAGCUGCGGAGCUGUGUAUCACGAAGAACCGGAGAACGGUUGGCGAGUCUGGAUGAGAGGACGGCGGCGGAGUCACUGUGGACGUUGUUCGCUCAGCAGGUUAGAGUGUGGGACGCACUCAAAGCUUUUUUCCCCUCUCACGUUGUGUCUUUUCCUGUGUGAACUCUGCCGCUCUCAACAGCAGCACUGGCUAUGAGCUAGCUCCUGCUAGCUCCAACGAAGCAUCUCUCAACUGCUACAAGGUCCAACUUGACACACAACUUGAAUCCAACCAGACUGAACACUGACUCCAGGGACAGACGAGCCUGAAGGACACAGCUGUGAUGACCAUGUUCUGUCUCUUAUGGCAAAGCAGAAAUAUAAAACACUGGGUUCUUAUCUAAAGUGUAUCAAAUCAGAUCUCCACCAUGUUGCUGCUGAGGACAUCAGGUGCUGCAGUUCUUCAUCUAUGAAGAGAAAAAACGCACUGUUAAAGAAUGUUUUGUGUUGUGUAUAAAGCACAACCGAUUUCAGAUAGAACUGUUGUACUGUGGUCUUGGUUUAUAUCCUCAUGGUGAAAUGUACAUAUUUUAAGUCCCUUCUGAUAAAAGUGCUGAAAGAAAUACAACAUUGUACAAAUACAUAAAAUGUCUUUCUACCUCAUCAGUACUAUUCAAGGUGAUAAUCUCCCACAGACCUAUUGAUAACAGUCCAAAUCAAGUCUUUCCACUUCUCUCAGUGUGAAAACAUAAUUCUAUAAUUAAUUUGAGAACUGUUUACAACACUGAUGUGUGGAGAUUAAAAUCAUACCUAAACUGUCUAAUUCACUGUAAAACUCCAUGACAUUCGCAGGCCAUCUGUAGUUAAGGGAGCAACGCAUGGAGUGAUGUGUAGAUUACUAGUUUGAUGAUGCAUGAGGAGAGGCGGUGGUCGAGUGGCAGAAACUUGGACUAUGGGCAGAGAAGGUCUCUGGUUCGUCUUUGGUUCGACUCCAUGGAGAGACAACAAAAGUCGAACCUGGAUUGAUCUGUCCAAAAAUCCAAGAGUCUCCCUACCCUCUCUAGUGCCCAUGAGCAAGGCACCUCACUCCCCCAACAUCUGCUCCCCCGAGCGCCGUACAUGGUCGCUCACUGCUCUGUGUGUCCUGCACCAGAUGGGUA